AGUCCUUUGAAGUUCCAGCUCACCCUUGCAUAUCUGUGUGGACUCAGCCAUCCCAGAGGUUUUCAUCUCACUCUGUCAACAUCACAGUGCAGGGUAGACAGCCUGGAGUUUGCACACCUGCCGUGAAACACUGAGUAGGGUAAUGCCAGGAUGGGAGUGAAUGUCUGGGCCAAUCUGUGACAACAGAGGAAGGUCUGAGGAAUCUUGGAGGAAGCUGCCUCUCCCCUCAAGCAUCUCUGCUACCAUCUGGAGUGAGACCAAAGCCGCUGAACCAGCUGACCUGGGAAUCUUGGUCCCAACUCUUCGAACCAAGCCCCAUUCAAGAUGGAGUUGCUCUGGCUCACACACCUGUGACCACAAAAGAAAGACUGGAUGACUGUAUCAGUAAUCAACCAACCAAACAGAAGAGAGCCACUGGUCUCCAUGGAUGGCAUCUUUCAUAUCCUACUAAGUUAGGAG
rnacentral:lncRNA from 1 species